CUUUACUGCAACUUCGCAGUGGUAUUAGGAACUGGAUGUGUAGGAUAGGCGGGAGCCGAUGAAGCUCGGGCGUCAGCUCGGGUGGAGGCACCGGUGAAAUACCGCCCUUACGGUUUCUGAUAUCUAACUUCGGCCCGUUAUCCGGGCUAAGGACCCUGCGUGGUGGGCAGUUUGACUGGGGCGGUCGCCUCCCAAAGAGUAACGGAGGCGCGCGAUGGUGGGCUCAGGCUGGUCGGAAAUCAGCCCUCGAGUGCAAUGGCAUAAGCCCGCCUGACUGCGAGACCGACAGGUCGAGCAGAGACGAAAGUCGGCCAUAGUGAUCCGGUGGUUUCCAAGUGGAAGGGCCAUCGCUCAACGAAUAAAAGGUA
rnacentral:rRNA from 1 species